rnacentral:rRNA from 1 species
CAGCAGCCGCGGUAAUACGGAGGGCGCGAGCGUUACCCGGAUUUACUGGGCGUAAAGGGCGUGUAGGCGGCCUGGGGCGUCCCAUGUGGAAGGCCACGGCUCAACCGUGGAGGAGCGUGGGAUACGCUCAGGCUAGAGGGUGGGAGAGGGUGGUGGAAUUCCCGGAGUAGCGGUGAAAUGCGCAGAUACCGGGAGGAACGCCGAUGGCGAAGGCAGCCACCUGGUCCACUUCUGACGCUGAGGCGCGAAAGCGUGGGGAGCAAACCGGAUUAGAUACCCGCGUAGUCCCUGUCUCUUAUAA